rnacentral:hammerhead_ribozyme from 1 species
ACUGAGCUGACGAGUCCAAAAUAAGACGAAAUACGUAUUCUGGAU